AUUGAACGCUGGCGGCAUGCCUUACACAUGCAAGUCGAACGGUAACGGGUCCUUCGGGAUGCCGACGAGUGGCGAACGGGUGAGUAAUAUAUCGGAACGUGCCCAGUAGUGGGGGAUAACUGCUCGAAAGAGCAGCUAAUACCGCAUACGACCUGAGGGUGAAAGGGGGGGAUCGCAAGACCUCUCGCUAUUGGAGCGGCCGAUAUCAGAUUAGCUAGUUGGUGGGGUAAAGGCCUACCAAGGCAACGAUCUGUAGUUGGUCUGAGAGGACGACCAGCACACUGGGACUGAGACACGGCCCAGACUCCUACGGGAGGCAGCAGUGGGGAAUUUUGGACAAUGGACGCAAGCCUGAUCCAGCAAUGCCGCGUGCAGGAAGAAGGCCUUCGGGUUGUAAACUGCUUUUGUCAGGGAAGAAAUCUUCUGGGCUAAUACCCCGGGAGGAUGACGGUACCUGAAGAAUAAGCACCGGCUAACUACGUGCCAGCCGCCGCAGUAA
rnacentral:rRNA from 1 species